rnacentral:rRNA from 1 species
CAGCAGCCGCGGGAAUACGUAGGGUGCAAGCGUUAAUCGGAAUUACUGGGCGUAAAGCGUGCGCAGGCGGUUAUAUAAGACAGAUGUGAAAUCCCCGGGCUCAACCUGGGAACUGCAUUUGUGACUGUAUAGCUAGAGUACGGCAGAGGGGGAUGGAAUUCCGCGUGUAGCAGUGAAAUGCGUAGAUAUGCGGAGGAACACCGAUGGCGAAGGCAAUCCCCUGGGCCUGUACUGACGCUCAUGCACGAAAGCGUGGGGAGCAAACAGGAUUAGAGCCCCCGUAGUCCCUGUCUCUUAUACA